rnacentral:rRNA from 1 species
CGAGCGAGCUUGCCAGAUGAUUUUAGUGCUUGCACUAAAUGAAACUAGAUACAAGCGAGCGGCGGACGGGUGAGUAACACGUGGGUAACCUGCCCAAGAGACUGGGAUAACACCUGGAAACAGAUGCUAAUACCGGAUAACAACACUAGACGCAUGUCUAGAGUUUGAAAGAUGGUUCUGCUAUCACUCUUGGAUGGACCUGCGGUGCAUUAGCUAGUUGGUAAGGUAACGGCUUACCAAGGCAAUGAUGCAUAGCCGAGUUGAGAGACUGAUCGGCCACAUUGGGACUGAGACACGGCCCAAACUCCUACGGGAGGCAGCAGUAGGGAAUCUUCCACAAUGGACGAAAGUCUGAUGGAGCAACGCCGCGUGAGUGAAGAAGGGUUUCGGCUCGUAAAGCUCUGUUGGUAGUGAAGAAAGAUAGAGGUAGUAACUGGCCUUUAUUUGACGGUAAUUACUUAGAAAGUCACGGCUAACUACGUGCCAGCAGCCGCGGUAAUACGUAGGUGGCAAGCGUUGUCCGGAUUUAUUGGGCGUAAAGCGAGUGCAGGCGGUUCAAUAAGUCUGAUGUGAAAGCCUUCGGCUCAACCGGAGAAUUGCAUCAGAAACUGUUGAACUUGAGUGCAGAAGAGGAGAGUGGAACUCCAUGUGUAGCGGUGGAAUGCGUAGAUAUAUGGAAGAACACCAGUGGCGAAGGCGGCUCUCUGGUCUGCAACUGACGCUGAGGCUCGAAAGCAUGGGUAGCGAACAGGAUUAGAUACCCUGGUAGUCCAUGCCGUAAACGAUGAGUGCUAAGUGUUGGGAGGUUUCCGCCUCUCA